GGGCCCGUAGCUCAGUUUGGGAGAGCGCACGGUUCGCAUCCGUGAGGUUCGAGGGUUCGAUCCCCUUCGGGUCCACCA
rnacentral:tRNA from 1 species